rnacentral:lncRNA from 1 species
UGUUCAGUUGGAGGCAUGUCUUCUGCCCUUGAAUUUCCCGUUAGGUUUACAAAUCAGACUGUUGCCCUGACUGAUACUUUCUGGGGGAGCCGUUCCUCCUUUUACAUGCUCUCUAUCAAUCUCCCUGCUAUUUAAACUGAGUCUUAAAGUCUCUACUUUCCCCUCUGAACUUUAAAGAGGUUUCCUUCUCUUACAGGUUAGCUGUCAGGGAGCAUGGCCUUUGCCUAGAAUUUGGGGGAAGCGGGAGUUCAGAAAGAUGGCAGGGGAGGGGCAGGCUCUGUUCCCCUCAGCACUCCCUGGCAGGAGUCCUGUGAUGUGACAUCACAAGGACACUGAGUGUUUGUUUAUUUUUGGUCUCUAGGCUUCAGUGGGGGUUAUUAUCACAUUGUUGUCUGCACACUUCCCUUGACUUCACGUCAAUUCUGCCUGAUGCCCACACCUUCCAGGUCUUCACUGUGCUCCAGCUGCAGUAUCAGUGGAAUUGUGUGAUGUGGAUAUGAUGGAAGGAAAGGCAUUCAACACCAACAUCUUUCCGGAUGCCUGGCAGCACCAGUUACCACUGCAGUGGCUGGGCCUGGGUCCAGGUGGGAGGACUUGACUCUGCUCAGGAAGCAUUUUGGAAGGAGAGAUGUUUCUCUACAACCACAGCUGUGGAAGAUGUGUAUUUUGCUGAAGGAGUGAAACAACCUAAUCAGUCAGAUUGGUCUAUUAGUUGUGCUUCUCAACCCUGGCUGCACACUGGAAUCACCUGGGGAGUAUUGACAGCCUAUCAACACCCAGAACCAUCCCGGAGAGCUCGGGCACGACUAAUUCCCACCAGCAACCAAAUAUUGUCUGUGCACAGCCAGGCUGGAAAUUAUGGAGACAUCCUUUUACAUCCACUCUGGAAGUCCGGUGGCCUUGUCCUUCUGGAAGACGGCUAAAGAUAUGUAGAACUCUGGGGUUUCAGAA